UGUGGCUGCAUCCCCAGGGCCUGUCUUACAGUGAGCAUUUAAUAAACAUUAGUUGAGUGAAUGAAUGGAGGAUACUCAGUGGCAAAGCUAGGGUUUGAACCCAGAUCUCUGACUCCCUUAAUUCUGUCCUCUUCCCUCCAUUUCAUGGAGGACUAAGGGACCUGAGGUUCAUUCUGAAAUGCUUAUCUGAAGGGUCCACCUACCUCUUCUCAACAGCCACUCACGCACAGUGUCAGUGACAUCAAAGGACAGCCACUCGGCAGUGCCCCGUGUGGGCAGAUUCUUGCCACCGAUAUAGCGCUGUUUGGCAAUGUGCUCAUCUGGCCGAAGGAUCUACAGGGCAGAGAAAGGAGUGAGUACCCGAGACCAGGACAGAGUGCCCCAGAAGAUGUCACAAUGCAGAGCACAGGACACAGAUACGGAAACGAAGGCUCAGAGAAGCCAGGAUUCAAACCCAGGUCUGCCAAACGCUGCACCCAGUGGUGCCCUGAUAUGGCAAAGGAACCAGCUUUCCCGUCGGUGUGGUUUCUGCUCUGAGAGAGGAGUUACCUGGAAGAGCUCGAUCCUCUGCUCAUUCCGCUU
rnacentral:lncRNA from 1 species